rnacentral:rRNA from 1 species
CCUACGGGAGGCAGCAGUAGGGAAUCUUCGGCAAUGGACGAAAGUCUGACCGAGCAACGCCGCGUGAGUGAAGAAGGUUUUCGGAUCGUAAAGCUCUGUUGUAAGUCAAGAACGUGUGUGAGAGUGGAAAGUUCACACAGUGACGGUAGCUUACCAGAAAGGGACGGCUAACUACGUGCCAGCAGCCGCGGUAAUACGUAGGUCCCGAGCGUUGUCCGGAUUUAUUGGGCGUAAAGGGAGCGCAGGCGGUCAGGAAAGUCUGGAGUAAAAGGCUAUGGCUCAACCAUAGUGUGCUCUGGAAACUGUCUGACUUGAGUGCAGAAGGGGAGAGUGGAAUUCCAUGUGUAGCGGUGAAAUGCGUAGAUAUAUGGAGGAACACCAGUGGCGAAAGCGGCUCUCUGGUCUGUCACUGACGCUGAGGCUCGAAAGCGUGGGUAGCGAACAGGAUUAGAUACCCCAGUAGUC